GGCAGGAAAGCUCUGACGGUAGAACACGAGACUCUUAAUCUCAGGGUUGUGGGUUCAAGCCCCACGUUAGACCA